GUAUGAAAUUAUUCUUGGCAUCAAGGGGGCAAAAUUACUUCUUUCCCCUACAUAGUGCAUGUGUUUAUCGGAAUUUCUGUAUUUAAUUCUGACUAGAUAAAGCAUAAAGAUCAGACUGGCUAUAAUGGAACCCCAGAAGGAAAGGAGAAUGAGGGAACCGGGCAGCCUAGGAAGUUGGCAGCGACUUCCAGACUCAGACCUGCUUUGACACCUGCAGCACUGAGCCUCAGAAAUCUACAGUGAUGCAGCAUGCUGCCAAAUGCCUGCCGCGGGUCCCCCCGGCAACUCCAAACUGGCUUUAAGUUUUGCUUUCCCUUGGCAAGAGGAAGCAGAGGCAUGGACUGACCCAACUGACCGGAUCCUGGAUGAGGACAACGCCCAGUGGGAGAAGGAACCAUGGAACUAGAAGACAGAGGAAGACUCAAAAUGUUGAAAGAAAGGAACAGUCAUCCCAGAAUUCUGUAGAUAGUGAAACUACACAUCAGAAAUAAAGACAUGAAGACAUCUACUGAUGAAAGAAAGCUAACAGAAGCCUCUGCCAGCCAACCAUCUCUCUUCCAAACUUUGUAAUUAAACUUUCAAUUAAAUCAGCAAUAAACAACAACUGAACAACCUGAA